AGUGAACGCUGGCGGUAGGCCUAACGCAUGCAAGUCGAACGGCAGCACAGUAAGAGCUUGCUCUUACGGGUGGCGAGUGGCGGACGGGUGAGGAAUACAUCGGAAUCUACUUUUUCGUGGGGGAUAACGUAGGGAAACUUACGCUAACACCGCAUACGACCUACGGGUGAAAGCAGGGGAUCUUCGGACCUUGCGCGAUUGAAUGAGCCGAUGUCGGAUUAGCUAGUUGGCGGGGUAAAGGCCCACCAAGGCGACGAUCCGUAGCUGGUCUGAGAGGAUGAUCAGCCACACUGGAACUGAGACACGGUCCAGACUCCUACGGGAGGCAGCAGUGGGGAAUAUUGGACAAUGGGCGCAAGCCUGAUCCAGCCAUACCGCGUGGGUGAAGAAGGCCUUCGGGUUGUAAAGCCCUUUUGUUGGGAAAGAAAAGCAGCAGGUUAAUACCCCGCUGUUCUGACGGUACCCAAAGAAUAAGCACCGGCUAACUUCGUG
rnacentral:rRNA from 1 species